GUUGGUGUCUGCUUAGUGGUAAAGCACUUGCCUAGCAUGCAUGAGACUCUGGGUUCAAUCCCCGUCACCACA
rnacentral:tRNA from 1 species